rnacentral:rRNA from 1 species
UACGUAGGGUGCGAGCGUUAAUCGGAAUUACUGGGCGUAAAGCGUGCGCAGGCGGUUUUGUAAGCCAGAUGUGAAAUCCCCGGGCUUAACCUGGGAAUGGCAUUUGGGACUGCAAGGCUUGAGUGCGGCAGAGGAGACUGGAAUUCCUGGUGUAGCAGUGAAAUGCGUAGAUAUCAGGAGGAACACCGGUGGCGAAGGCGGCUACCUGGACAGAAACUGACGCUGAGGCACGAAAGCUAGGGGAGCAAACAGG